UAACAAGCGAAUAAGGGCGUAUGGUGGAUGCCUUGGCUCUCAUAGGCGAUGAAGGACGUGAUAAGCUGCGAUAAGCUUCGGUAAGGUGCAAAUAACCGCAAUACCCGAAGAUUUCCGAAUGGGUCAACCCAAUAUACAAAGUAUAUUAUCCUGUAAAGGAGGCAAACGCGGAGAACUGAAACAUCUAAGUAUCCGCAGGAAAAGAAAACAAAUAAGUGAUUCCCCUAGUAGUGGCGAGCGAACGGGGAUUAGCCCAAACCAAGAUUGUUUCGGCAUUCUUGGGGUUGUAGGACUACGUCAUAGUCGAAGUAAAUGAACUGGAACACUUUGGAAAAAGUGAUCAUAGAGGGUGAUAAUCCCGUACAGGUAAGUUUAUCAGACUUAGUAGUAUCCUGAGUAAGGCGGGACACGUGUAAUCCUGUCUGAAUCCGCCGGGUCCAUCCGGCAAGGCUAAAUACUCAUGAGAGACCGAUAGUGAACCAGUACUGUGAAGGAAAGGUGAAAAGCACCUCGAAUAGAGGAGUGAAAUAGUCCCUGAAACCAUGCGCCUACAAGCGGUCGGAGCCCUUUAGUGGGGUGACGGCGUGCCUUUUGCAUAAUGAACCUACGAGUUACUCAUCACGGGCAAGGUUAAGUACUUAAAGGUACGUGAGCCGAAGCGAAAGCGAGUUUUAAUAGAGCGCUAAGUCCGUGGUGGUAGACGCGAAACCUUGUGAUCUACCCAUGUGCAGGUUGAAGGUUUGGUAACACAAACUGGAGGACCGAACCGAUAAACGUUGAAAAGUUUCCGGAUGACAUGUGGGUAGGGGUGAAAGGCCAAUCAAACUGGGAAAUAGCUCGUACUCUCCGAAAUGCAUUUAGGUGCAGCCUCUGUAGUUUAGUGUUAGAGGUAGAGCUACUGAUGGGAUGCGAGGGUUUCACCGCCUAUCAAAUCCGUCCAAACUCCGAAUGCUAACACUUUAAAUACAGGGAGUGAGCCCACGGGUGCUAAGGUCCGUGGACGAAAGAGGAAGAACUCAGCCCAUCAGCUAAGGUCCCCAAUUGUAUGCUAAGUUGAUCAAACGAGGUGUGACUGCUUAGACAGCUAGUAUGUUGGCUUGGAAGCAGCCAUUCAUUUAAAGAGUGCGUAACAGCUCACUAGUCGAGCGGUCACGCGUGGAUAAUACACGGGCAUAAGCAUACAACCGAAGCUAUGGACUUGACAUUAAGUUGUCAAGUGGUAGGAGAGCAUUCCAUUCUGCGUCGAAGCAGUAUCGUAAGGUAUUGUGGAGCGUAUGGAAAAGCAAAUGUAGGUAUAAGUAACGAUAAUGUAGGUGAGAACCCUACACGCCGAAAGAUCAAGGAUUCCCCGGCAAUGUCAUUCAUCCGGGGUUUAGUCGGGUCCUAAGGUUCAGCCGAUAGGCGAUACCGAUGGCAAACAGGUUAAUAUUCCUGUACACAUAUAUACUGCGAUGCAGUUACGGAGUAGUGACACCGCUGCCCACUGACGGAAUAGUGGGUUGAAACCAAAAGUCGCUGAUUGGUAUAGUCAAGUACGUACCAAGAGAUGAAUGGUGAUAGUACCGCAAGGCUUCGGCUGCGCGGAUAAUGCGGGUAAUCAAACUUCCAAGAAACCCUGCUAAGCUUCAGGUAUAUAUGUCCCGUACCGUAAACGGACACACGUGAUCGGGUAGAAAAUACUCAGGCGCACGAGAUAUUCAUGGCUAAGGAACUAGGCAAAAUGGUUCUGUAACUUCGGGAAAAAGAACGCUGGAUAAAACCAGCCGCAGCAAAUUGGCUCAGGCGACUGUUUACCAAAAACAUAUGGCUAUGCUAAAUCGUAAGAUGAUGUAUAUGGCCUGACACCUGCCCGGUGCUGGAAGGUUAAGAGGAGAGCUUAGAAGUAAUUCGACGGUUUGAAUUGAAGCCCCAGUAAACGGCGGCCGUAACUAUAACGGUCCUAAGGUAGCGAAAUUCCUUGUCGGGUAAGUUCCGACCUGCACGAAUGGUGUAACGAUCUGAGCACUGUCUCGGCCAUGUUCUCGGUGAAAUUGUAGUUCCGGUGAAGAUGCCGGAUACCCUCAACGGGACGGAAAGACCCCGUGAACCUUUACUGCAGCUUUGCAUUGAAAUUGGUUAAGUGAUGUGUAGGAUAGGUCGGAGACUAUGAAAUGCGCUCGUCAGGGUGUGUGGAGUCAUUGUUGAAAUACGACCCUUUGCUUAACUGAGUUCUAAUCCCCUGUGGGGAGACAUUGCAUGGUGGGUAGUUUGACUGGGGUGGUCGCCUCCAAAAGCGUAACGGAGGCUUCUCAAGGUACCCUCAUGGCGUUUGGUAAUCGCCAGUAGAGUGCAAUGGCAUAAGGGUGCUUGACUGUGAGACCCACAAGUCGAUCAGGUAGGAAACUAGAGCAUAGUGAUCCGGUGGUUCCGUAUGGAAGGGCCAUCGCUCAAAGGAUAAAAGGUACUCCGGGGAUAACAGGCUGAUCGCUCCCAAGAGCUCAUAUCGACGGAGCGGUUUGGCACCUCGAUGUCGGCUCGUCACAUCCUGGGGCUGGAGAAGGUCCCAAGGGUUCGGCUGUUCGCCGAUUAAAGUGGCACGCGAGCUGGGUUCAGAACGUCGUGAGACAGUUCGGUCCCUAUCUGUUGAGGGCGUAGUAUAUUUGCGGAGUCCUGACACUAGUACGAGAGGACCGUGUUGGACAUACCUCUGGUGAAUCAGUUGUGGCGCCAGCUGCAUUGCUGAGUAGCUAUGUAUGGACGGGAUAAGCGCUGAAAGCAUCUAAGCGCGAAGCCUUCUUCAAGAUGAGAUAUACUUAUAGGGUCGUUUUAGACUAAGACGUUGAUAGGUUGCAGGUGUAUCGCCGGUGACGGCACAGCUGAGCAAUACUAAUCACCCAAAAGCUUGAUUUC
rnacentral:rRNA from 1 species